rnacentral:snRNA from 1 species
GUGCUAUAAUGAGUAAGGAAAACAAAGUGAGCAGUGGGAAAUGCUCACAGCGCUGAGAAAAUCUUGUGCAAGAAUUUAUGGAGGGGUUAUAGGCUAGCCGAGAGUUGAUGAUGCUUACUUUGCAGAACUCUCUCGCGCUAGUUUGGUGU